GUGCCAGCAGCCGCGGUAAUACGUAGGUGGCAAGCGUUGUCCGGAAUUAUUGGGCGUAAAGCGCGCGCAGGCGGUCCUUUAAGUCUGAUGUGAAAGCCCACGGCUCAACCGUGGAGGGUCAUUGGAAACUGGGGGACUUGAGUGCAGAAGAGGAGAGCGGAAUUCCACGUGUAGCGGUGAAAUGCGUAGAGAUGUGGAGGAACACCAGUGGCGAAGGCGGCUCUCUGGUCUGUAACUGACGCUGAGGCGCGAAAGCGUGGGGAGCAAACAGGAUUAGAUACCCUGGUAGUCC
rnacentral:rRNA from 1 species